AUAUGUUUAACACUUUUUUGGUUACUACAUGAUUCCAUAUGUGUUAUUCCAUAGCUUUGAUGUCUUCACUAUUAUUCUACAAUGUAGAAAAUACACACACACACACACACACAUAUAUAACGAUACCCAUUUUAGCCAUUUAUAUAUUUAUUUUUAGGAACUCAGUCAGGGUCUCAAUUGACUAAUGAGAGAAAUAAUAGUAGAAUACACCAGGUGCAAUUUCAAAAUGUGGUUGUGCAUCAGCAGUUUUUAACUUUUUAUGUCAGUCACUGACAGUCACUGAAUUAGCCAUGUCAGCUAGCAAUUUUAGAUUGGUAGCUUGUCUAGCCAGCUAUCUAACUUAUAGUAAUCAUGGUCGAAUACUGACUGGGCACACAAGGCAUUUGCCCAGGGGCCCUGACUUCCAGGGGACCCCCAUUUGAUUUUGUUAGUCAUUCUCACUCAGAUAUCAUAUUAACAUGGCAUUCAAACUGAAAAGAUUUCUAUCCACCCCAUGGCAAAAUGGGUAGAAUUGCUUGAAAUGUGUUGUUGAACUGCAACAUUUUCUCUCUGCCCCAUGGACAAAUGUGCAGAAUUGCAGGAAAUUAACUUUAAAAUGAACAUUUGUCUCUACACCGUUAAGUGGGGGAUAGGGCUGGGCGAUAUAUCCAAUUAAUUAGAUUAAUUCGAAUGUAUGUUUUUGCGCAAUAUUCUAAAUGCCUGUAUCACAAGAAUAUUUUUUGAUUUUAUGAGCGCUUAUGUCCGCUUGUUCUCAUCUCUUUCUGGUCUCGUCUCCUUCACUCCUGUGCUGUGUGCGUGCACCUUCCCAUUAACACCAGAGUACUGGAUAUAAUGAUGAAAUGCUCAUGUCUCCGCCCUGACAAUGGGAGUCGUUUUCGCAAAGGCAGGAAGGCAGGCGACAAGCUUAGGUCCAAAAUAAGACCAUAGAACCGCAUUUUUUUUUGGAGGACCGAUUUUGGCGAGAGCAAAAACUCUUGCUUCGCCUCUUCCUCUCUGUUCACACACACACACAUACAAAGACCCUCCCCUUUCCACUUACAACAAAGCUGAGAGAUCACUAAUUCCUCUCUGACAAGAGGUUUCAACUCGCUAUAUGCAUUUGAGCUUUGGUCCCACAAAAUCGAUCAUAUGGACACGGAAACACACUGGGACAUAAUUGUACUGUAAUAGAGGACACGUUAACAUUUCUAACGAUACCCUUUUUAUGUCUCAAAUAUUCAAAUUGAUCGCAGAGCAAUCACUACUAAAACAGGAGUAUCAAUGAACAUUGAUUCUGGAAAAUGAAUGCUCAGUUUGCCGUGCGGUAUCACGUUCCACUAGUAGCAUUUUAGCCAAAGACUGUUAUACUAGCUGUCUAGUCUAUGCUUAAUGCACAUUUAUAAAACACAAAACGCAAUUAUAUAAGGAAUGGGCAACUCGUUUUCAUUCGGGGAAAUACGGUAGGCCACUUGAUUUCAACAAAGUGGGCAGGCUAGCAUGCUGUUCAAACGGAAGGGUGUGCUCAUAACAAUUCAACUGUUAUGCCUUGUUAGCUAGCAAAUAUAUCCAAGUUUGCUAAACUUAAAAGAUUAAGAUUAGCUGGCUACUCACUAGCACGUACUUAUGAGACCUGUGUUAGUUUUCGAUAAUGCCUGCUACAAGAAGUUAGUCAUUAUUAGUGGAUGUGCAUUAUGCAUGGUUCUGGUUAAAUUUGUAACGAAAAUGCCAUUUUCAUAGACCGACUUGAAAGCCAGAGAAGUGAUUCUUGCAAAAAAAACUGAUUUAAACUAUUUUGAUAAAAUAAUUCAAUUAUUAGUGGGUCUUAUAUUUGUGAAAGACUUUAUAUAUUUAGCCUGGGUAUAAUAUCACAAGCCCUGAAUUAAUUUGAUUAUUGCUGACUGUUUGAAAUGCAGUGUAUUUGACCCAACCAAAUCUCGCUUAUGGCCCCCAAAAGGAUGGACAUUUAUUUUGACCCCUAUUUUAUUAACUGGUAUUGAGAAUGUGCAGUAGGUACAGACUCCAAAGCUUGAAUUACUUCUCCAUCUAUGUCUGUGCCUGGUAAACAACUUAAAUGCACUCUGUUCUUUUCUCCAUUGCAGGAGGAACCAGGUUUAGACCUACAUUGCCCUGAAAAAGUAUUUUCCCCUUUCAAAUUUUCUCUACUUUUGCAUAGUUUUGAUACAGAAUGUAAUCAGAUCGUCAACCAAAACCUAAUAUUAGAUAAAGGGAACCUGAGUGAACAAAUAACACAACAAUUACAUGCUCAUUUCAUUAAACAAAGUUUAAAGUGCAACAUCCAAUGCCCCUGUGUGAAAAAGUAAUUGCCCCCUUACACUCAAUAACUGAUUGUGCCACCUUAAGCUGCAAUGACUCCAACCAAACACUUCCUGUAGUUGUUCAUCAGUCUCUCACGUCGCUGUGGAGGAGUUUUGGCCCAUCCUUCCAUGCAGAACUGCUGUAACUCAGCGACAUUUGUGGAUUUUCAAGCAUGAACUGCCACAACAUCCAAAAAGUUAUACCUUUUAAUCAUCUGCCCAUAGUACAUUCUUCGAAGAUUCCUGUUGAUCAGGUGCUUUUUGGCACGACAUAUGUCCCAUUAUGCCUGGCGGAAACCAAACGCUGCAUUCCACAGCAAGAACCUCAUACCAAUGGUCAAGCAUGGUGGUGGUAGUGUGAUAGUGUGGGGAUGCUUUGCUGCCUCAGGACCUGAUCGACUUGCCUUAAUAGAAGGAACCAUGAAUUUUGCUCUCUAUCAGAGAAUACUACAGAAGAAUGUCAUGCAGCAAGACAAUGAAUGAUCCGAAAGACACAAUCAAAUCUACAUGAAAAUAGCUCAAACAAUUUAAUAAAAAACAUUGAUGUUUUGGAAUGACCUAGUCAAAGUCCAGACUUAAUCCCAAUUGAGAUGUUGUGGUAGGACUUGAAACGAGCAGUUCAAGCUUGAAAACCCAGAAAUGUUGCUGAGUUAAAGCAGUUCUGCAUGCAAGAGUGGUCCAAAACUCCUCCACAGCAACGUGAGAGACUGAUGAACAACUACAGGAAGCGUUUGGUUGGAGUCAUUGCAGCUAAAGGUGGCACAACCAGUUAUUGAGUGUAAGGGGGCAAUUACUUUUUCACACAGGGAAAUUGGGUGUUGCAUAACUUUAAUUAAAUACAUAAAAUAAGCAUUCAUUUGUUAUUUGUAAGCUUGGGUUUUGGUUGAAGAUCUGAUAACAUUCUGUAUCAAAAAUAGAGAAAAUCAGAAAGGGGGCAAAUACUUCUUCACGGCACUGUACAUACAGUAUAACCAUAUUAGAUGUUGAGUGACAUGGUCCCAAGGCUGCUUCCUCUGUUGUUAGCAGCAGCUAUAGGGACUGUGAUAGUUAAAUACAUGUAACCUUUAUUUAACUAGGCAAAUAUAACAACAUAAACAGUUGAUGGAGGCCCGUAUUGAACGACCUGUCUGGAGUUGCUCUCGGGACGGAGUUAGCUCAGAGAGAACCACACAACCAGAGUACUUUUCCUCACACAAACUAGGUAUGUUGUGAUAUAUUACCAUCCAAACACUGUCCCACUUUCACUCCACUGGUAAUUGAAGCUGUAUCUAUGGAGGUAAAUGAGCACUUUUCACUGUAGGUUUCCACAACCUAAUCCAUAUCUGUGUUGAUGUUGAGGAGACUUCAGCCUGUGCACUGCACAAACCCAGUCCUUUGGUGCUUUACCAUUGAAACACAUAUAACACUUAUAUCGUGCAGUGAGUCAUUUACAGGAUAUAAAGUGUAUUGUAGCUAGAACCUACACACCAAUUACUCAUCCCUAAAACUAAUCCAUCAUCCCACACAUUAAUAUCUAGGCAGAGUGUGAAUUCUAAACAACAGUGUAUAGUUCUACAGCCUACAUGACAGAUCAGUCUGCUCUGGACCUGUAGAUGCAUUUAUACAGAACUGUCUGAUGUUGCUAUAGCGCUGAAGAAAGCCCAUGGUGGAUACUGACAGCAUAUUGGCAUCUUACUACAGACAGACAGAGCAUGCUGCUCAGGCCUCCCAUAGCACACCACUGUUCAGUGAGCUGCAGCCAGGGAGGGCUGCUAGUGGGGACACUGACUCCCAGGCACUGAUCCAGGUUCACCUGAGCUUAAACCUGGUCCUGAAUCCCAGUGUUGAAGAGCUGUGGACAGGCUGAUCUGGGAUCAGCUGGUGAAGACACUGUCAGUCUUUUGCCUUUAAGAAACUGAAUAAGGGAGAAGUCCCCUGACUUGUGCACUUCAUGUCUUAGGGGAGAUGAUUAUUUUGUAAUUACUGUUAGGAAUGUAGAAUUUGGGCUGGAAGUAUUGUACCCACUGUCUGGCCUUCUGUGUGUAUAUUUUGUGAUAAGAUAAUACCAAGACAAUAAUAUGAUUAUAAAAUGAAGAGUUAUAAUAAUCUGAAUAAUAAGUUGUGUAUAGUUGAAAUCUGAAGUUUUAAUUAAAAUGUACUGUAAAAUGUACCUUUUAAUCCAAAUUGAUCCAGCCAGUUAGAAGUUGAUUCUGACUAGCGCCCACGGUUUGGUUGCAUAUUUAAUGUUUUAUAUUAAAAGAGACUUACACACUGAACAUAAUUUUUAUACAAAGUUCUUGAUACUGGCAUAGUGUUUACUUGGUUUAGAUUUAAAGUUCACAAACAAACAAUCACAUUCUGAUGUGGCCCUUAAGGUUUCUGAGGGCAGCUACAGGGAUCUGGCAUGUGCUCUGGAGGACAGUGGAAGACACACAGAAUACCAUUCUCAACCCAACAUAUUGAGCUAGAGGAGUUGCUGGGAGUGAUGUGAUAAACAUAGCAUGCAAACUAUACUGAACAAAAAUAUAAAUGCAACAUGUAAAGUGUUGGUUUCAUGAGCUGAAAUAAAAGAGCGGAGAAAUGUUACAUACGCACAUAAAGCGUAUUUCUCAAAAAUGUUGUGCACAAAUUUAUUUACAUCUCUGUUAGUGAGCAUUUCUCCUUUGCCAAGUAAAUCCAUCCACCUGAUAGGUGUGACAUAACAAGAAGCUGAUUAAACAGCAUGAUCAUUACACAGGUGCACCUUGUUCUGGGGACAAUAAAAGGCCACUCUAAAAUGUGCAGUUUUGUCACACAGCACAAUGCCACAGAUGUCUCAAGUUUUGAGCGUGCGUGCAAUUGGCAUGCUGACUGCAGGAAUGUCCACCAGAACUGUUGCCAGAGGAUUUAAUGUUAAUUUCUCUACCAUAAGCCGCCUCAACCUCGUUUUAGAGAAUUUGGCAGUACGUCCAACCAGCCUCACAACCGCAGACCACGCCAGCCCAGGACCUCCACAUCUGGCUUCUUUACCUGAGGGAUCAUCUGGGACAAGCCACCCAGACAGCUGAUGAAACUGAGGAGUAUUUCUGUCUGUAAUAAAGCCAUUUUUGUGGGGAAAAACUCGUUCUGAUUGGCUGGGCCUGGCUCCCAAGUGGGUGGGCUUAUACCUUGCCAGGCCUACCCAUAGUUGCACCCCUGCCCAGUCAUGUGAAAUCCAUAGUUUAGGGCCUAAAUCAUUUAUUUCAAUUGACUGAUUUCCUUAUAUGAACUAUAACGUUGAAAAUGUUACGUGCUGCAUUUAUAUUUUUGUUCAGUAUAGAAACUGUCAAGUGCUGAAUGAAAUUCUACCCCAAUUACAUUUUCGUAAUUUAGCAGAUGCUCUUAUCCAGAGCGACUUACAGAGUGAGUAGUAAGUGUAUACGUUUUAAAAUAUUUUUUUCAUGCUCCCAACUGUUUUUCAGUUCAACUACCCUCCUCCACCUGAAGCCUGUAAUAUCAAGCCUAAAAGGUUUAGAGAAUAAGUGACUAGUGAUUGUUACAAGCACAUUCUGUCCAGGCACUUAUUCUCUUUAACCCCCCUGAACAACAGCCUUCAUUUUCUGCACUAUUUAUGUUUGGUUCCAGUCUAUCCACUUUGUACACAUUACCUUUCAGCAGACACACAGGCACUCAUACAUUAGUCACAUAACUAUAACACACACACAUGCAGACAAGCACAUGUAUAAGUACUGACCACAUUGGCGAGAACAGUACAUUAUUAGUGGAACAAAUCAAGGUGUAAAAUAGGAUGACAUGGUUCCCCACAUUGGAUUGAACUAAACUGGACACAAUCCCAGUAAGGGGUUUUAGUUUUGCUGUAUUGUAAAUGUGUCAUUGUAUAGAUAAUACUAUACCGUCAUAUACAGUAUUACUGGGUGACAAACAGUAUUGAAAUGUGGGGACGAAAGUAUAGGAUGUGCAGGUCAAUUAUUACUGUUUUUUCUCAAUUAUCAACUUCUUAUAGAUUUAGUUGAAUAUAUUGGGUUUGAAACAUAAUGAUUUUUAUAUAUUAAUAUACAUAUAUUUUGAAUGAUAAUAUAAACACAUCAUACAUUUUAAUCCAUUUCUUUUGAAUAUCUAAAUGACGUGAUCUCAAAAAUGGGUGUGUGUGUGUUUGUAGCCAGCACGUGUAAGAGACUGAUUAGAUGACUUAUUCAUUCAUGGCAGGUAGCCUAGUGGUUAGAGCGUUGGGACAGUAACUGAAAAGUUGCUGGAUCGAAUCCCUGAGCUGACAAGGUAAAAAUCUGUUGUUCUGCCCCUGAACAAGGCAGUUAACCCACUGUUCCCCGGCAGACCGUUAUUGUAAAUAAGAAUUUGUUUUUAACUGACUUGCCUAAGUUAAAUAAAAGGUUCAAUUAAAAAAUGAAAAAUUGGGUUAUAAAAGAUGGUCAUCUCUGCUCUGUGCAGAAAGGAAAAACGGAACAACUGAAGUGUCAUUGUAGAUGGUACUGAAGCCUAAAAUACUAUUUGCCUGCCUUCCUAAUGAAAGACACUUCUUCUUUUUUUCUCACCCAACAACACAUCAUCCAUAAUGGUUUGAUUUAGCUUUAAUAUCAAUGCUUUGUUUUUGUUGUAUUUUUUGUCUUUCAUUUACAGACUAUUUGUAUGUAUGUGUAAUAAAAUGUGUGUGUAUCUAAGAUGUACAGUACCAGUCAAUAGUUUGGACACACCUACUCAUUCAAGGUUUUUCUUCAUUUUUACUUUUUUUUCCCUACAUUGUUGAAUUAUACUAUGAAAUGACACAUAUGGAAUCAUGUAGUAACCAAAAAUGUGUUAAACAAAUCCCUUUGGCCUUGAUGACAGCUUUGCACACUCUUUGCAUGCUCUAAACCAGCUUCAUGAGGUAGUCACCUGGAAUGCAUUUCAAUUAACAGGUGUGCUUUAUUAAAAGUUAAGUUGAUUAGUGUUACCAGCCUCAGAAAUUGUAGUCCAAAUAAAUGCUUCACAGAGUUCAAGUAACAGACACAUCUCAACAUCAACUGUUCAGAGGAGACACUGUCUGUGAUGUAUUUAGAAUUCAAGGCACACUUAAUCAGCAUGGCUACCACAGCAUUCUGCAGCGAUACGCCGUCCCAUCUGGUUUGCGCUUAGUCCCACUAUCAUUUGUUUUUCAAAAGGACAAUGACCCAACACACCUCUAGGCUGUGUAAGGGCUAUUUGACCAAGGAGAGUGAUGGAGUGCUGCAUCAGAUGACCUGGCCUCCACAAUCACCCAACCUCAACCCAAUUGAGAUGGUUUGAGAUGAGUUAGACCGUAGAGUGAAUGAAAAGCAGCCAACAAGUACUCCGCAUAUGUGGGAAAUAUUUCAAGACUGUUGGGAAAGUAUUCCAGGUGAAGCUGGUUGAGAGUGCCAAGAGUGUGCAAAGCUGUCAUCAAGGCAAAGGGUGGCUACUUUGAAGAAUCUCAAAUAUAAAAUAUAUUUUGAUUUGUUUAACACUUUUUUGGUUACUACAGGAUUCCAUAUGUGUUAUUUCAUAGUUCUGAUGUCUUCACUAAUAUUCAACAAUGUAGAAAAUAGUAAAAAUAAAGAAAAAUGAGUAGGUUUGUCCAAACCUUUGACUGAUACUAUACAUGUCUUUUGUUGUGUGCUGCUCUGUGGCAGGAGUAUUGUAAUGAAGAUCGGGAGAUACCUCAUCUGAAUGAAACCCUGCUGGUCUGUGGACUCUGUGCUGUUUGGCCUUGUUCUAAUACACUAAGAGCUUGUGUGACCUAAAUCACUUGAUGCCUGGUACUAAAGGGGUGGUUGGAAGGACAGACGUGAGCAGGGGUCCUGCCUUUUACCAUUCUCACUUCAACCUCACUCUCACAAACAUAUUCGACACACGGACACAUAUGCACCUGUGUUCAGGUGUAACUCCAGUGUUUCCAAUUGGGGUUGGUGUUCCUUUUUAAUUGUGUUUCUUCUCCCUUCAUUUCUACACAUGUGACAUUGUCUUUAAAGGAAAGACACAAUGACAAAAAGGAGAUGAUAAAGUUGUUUCUGUUGAAACUG
ensembl:lncRNA